rnacentral:misc_RNA from 1 species
GAUGAAGAACGCAGCGAAAUGCGAUAAGUAAUGUGAAUUGCAGAAUUCAGUGAAUCAUGGAAUCUUUGAACGCAUCUUGCGCUCCUUGGUAUUCUGAGGAGCAUGCCUGUUUGAGUGUCAUUAAAUUCUCAACUACACUGACUUUGAAUUGGUGUGGCUUGGAUUUGGGGGGAAAAUUGUUGUGGGCUUUUUGUAUAGUCUGCUCCCCUGAAAUUGAUUAGCGGUACCUUUGUGGAACUGUCUACAGGUGUGAUAAUUAUCUACAUCUUAGACAUCUGCUGGAAUGCUGCUUUCUAAACCUUACUUGUAUUGACAAUCUUGACCUCAAAUCAGGUAGGACUACCCGCUGAACUUAAGCAUAUCAAUAAGCGGAGGA